rnacentral:rRNA from 1 species
UACGAAGGGUGCAAGCGUUACUCGGAAUUACUGGGCGUAAAGCGUGCGUAGGCGGUUUGUUAAGUCUGUCGUGAAAGCCCCGGGCUCAAUCUGGGAAUGGCGAUGGAUACUGGCGGGCUAGAGUACGGUAGAGGAGAGUGGAAUUCCCGGUGUAGCAGUGAAAUGCGUAGAGAUCGGGAGGAACAUCAGUUGCGAAGGCGGCUCUCUGGACCAGUACUGACGCUGAGGCACGAAAGCGUGGGGAGCAAACAGG